rnacentral:lncRNA from 1 species
GGCAAAGAACGAGGUGCCACCCCGAGCUCUGAGCAUUUCAUUGAACCUUCAUAGCAACGGUCCUAGGAGGUGGCAGCUAUUAUUAUCUGCAUUUUACAGAGCCUAGUUAAAGGUAACUCAGCCCAAGAACUGCUCCAGCCCUGAUGCACAAGGCCUGCUACUGAAGGGCCCGUCAUGGUGUGGAAUGAUGAACGAAAUGCAUAUUUGUUACUGGAAGCACAUUCUGACCUUCUCUCAGCUCCUGAGACCUUGUGUGUUCAGUCAGAAGAAUUCAGCUACGUACCAUGUGGACCUUCUUUUUUUAACAUAGUAAAGUGUGAAGGGGGAGAAGAGAUGUCUCUGAAUAAAGAAGCAAACAUCAAGGAGGCAAGCUGAACAAUCUUCUAAAGAGGUGGAGACUGGUAGCCCCGGGGCUGAAUCGCUCCGAGCUGGAUAGGAAGGAGUUCGCCUACUCACUGGAACUCAGCUUCAUUCUGAAGGAAAGCACGGUCUCUCCCCUACACAGGUAUCCAGUAGUCCUGGUGUGGCCCUGAUUGGCAGGAGAGGUGUAAGUGGGUGGG